GAGCGAAAUUCCUACUUGUCAAUCCAGGAAAUUGACUGCGUGGGUAUAAACUAUCAAAUUACGGGGAAGCCCUAAAGUUCAUGCUACCAAGCCGUAUGUGAAAAUGUAUGAGUGGCUGAAGUAAUUACUCAGGUAUGGUAACAAGGUAUGAAAUAGACGAAAGUAAAAUGGGUAAUCGCGUAUCUAAAUCUAGUUCGGAUUUGUCCGAAAAAGUAAAAGAGCAACGAGUAGACGGUAGUUGCUUCUUGUCUUGUAGUGAUCAAGAUCGAGAGGUUAAGGUGUAUUCUAACGGUUCUGCGAAAGCGGAAU
rnacentral:ncRNA from 1 species